CCAGAAAACCACAUUUUACAGUUUAUGAUGAUUAAUAGCAGCAGCAUGUUCAGUUUCGCUUAUAUGAGAAACAUGUUUAGGCAACUAGUCAGAAAACCAGCUAUGGCCUUACAGAAAGGGAAAAAUUAACCCAUUAUUAAAAAGUGUGUGUGGGGAGGGGGGCUGGUUUACAAUAUUAAACCAUUUAAAGUAUUUUAUUCUACAAAUGGGGUUUGUUUUCUUGUCAUGCAUAAUCAGAUUAUGUCCCCUCCCUUCUGGUUAAACAU
rnacentral:lncRNA from 1 species